AGCAUUAUACAGCGAAACUGCGAAUGGCUCAUUAUAUAAGUUAUCGUUUAUUUGAUAGUACCUUACUACUUGGAUAACCGUGGUAAUUCUAGAGCUAAUACAUGCUAAAAAUCCCGACUUCGGAAGGGAUGUAUUUAUUAGAUUAAAAACCAAUGCCCUCUGGGCUCCUUGGUGAUUCAUAAUAACUUUUCGAAUCGCAUGGCCUUGCGCCGGCGAUGGUUCAUUCAAAUUUCUUCCCUAUCAACUUUCGAUGUUUGGGUAUUGGCCAAACAUGGUCGCAACGGGUAACGGAGGGUUAGGGCUCGACCCCGGAGAAGGAGCCUGAGAAACGGCUACUACAUCCAAGGAAGGCAGCAGGCGCGCAAAUUACCCAAUCCCGAUUCGGGGAGGUAGUGACAAUAAAUACUGAUACAGGGCUCUUUUGGGUCUUGUAAUUGGAAUGAGUACAAUUUAAAUCUCUUAACGAGGAACAAUUGGAGGGCAAGUCUGGUGCCAGCAGCCGCGGUAAUUCCAGCUCCAAUAGCGUAUAUUAAAGUUGUUGUGGUUAAAAAGCUCGUAGUUGAACCUUGGGCCUGGCUGGCCGGUCCGCCUCACCGCGUGUACUGGUCCGGCCGGGCCUUUCCCUCUGUGGAACCCCAUGCCCUUCACUGGGUGUGGCGGGGAAACAGGACUUUUACUUUGAAAAAAUUAGAGUGCUCCAGGCAGGCCUAUGCUCGAAUACAUUAGCAUGGAAUAAUGAAAUAGGACGUGUGGUUCUAUUUUGUUGGUUUCUAGGACCGCCGUAAUGAUUAAUAGGGACAGUCGGGGGCAUCAGUAUUCAAUUGUCAGAGGUGAAAUUCUUGGAUUUAUUGAAGACUAACUACUGCGAAAGCAUUUGCCAAGGAUGUUUUCAUUAAUCAGGAACGAAAGUUAGGGGAUCGAAGACGAUCAGAUACCGUCGUAGUCUUAACCAUAAACUAUGCCGACUAGGGAUCGGACGAUGUUAUUUUUUGACGCGUUCGGCACCUUACGAGAAAUCAAAGUGCU
rnacentral:rRNA from 1 species